rnacentral:rRNA from 1 species
UACGAGAGGCCCAAACGUUAUUCGGAAUUACUGGGCUUAAAGAGUCCGUAGGCGGCGCGGAAAGUGGGGUGUGAAAGCCCUCGGCUCAACCGAGGAAUUGCGCUCCAAACUACCGUGCUUGAGGAACCUAGAGGUGAGCAGAACUGAUGGUGGAGCGGUGAAAUGCGUUGAUAUCAUCAGGAAUACCGGAGGCGAAGGCGGCUCACUGGGGGUUUUCUGACGCUGAGGGACGAAAGCCAGGGGAGCGAACGGG